rnacentral:rRNA from 1 species
AGUGAACGCUGGCGGUAGGCCUAACACAUGCAAGUCGAACGGCAGCACAGUAAGAGCUUGCUCUUACGGGUGGCGAGUGGCGGACGGGUGAGGAAUACAUCGGAAUCUACUUUUUCGUGGGGGAUAACGUAGGGAAACUUACGCUAAUACCGCAUACGACCUACGGGUGAAAGCAGGGGAUCUUCGGACCUUGCGCGAUUGAAUGAGCCGAUGUCGGAUUAGCUAGUUGGCGGGGUAAAGGCCCACCAAGGCGACGAUCCGUAGCUGGUCUGAGAGGAUGAUCAGCCACACUGGAACGGAAACACGGUCCAUACUCCUACGGGAGGCAGCAGUGGGGAAUAUUGGACAAUGGGCGCAAGCCUGAUCCAGCCAUACCGCGUGGGUGAAGAAGGCCUUCGGGUUGUAAAGCCCUUUUGUUGGGAAAGAAAAGCAGCAGGUUAAUACCCCGCUGUUCUGACGGUACCCAAAGAAUAAGCACCGGCUAACUUCGUG